CCUACGGGUGGCAGCAGUGAGGAAUAUUGGUCAAUGGGCGAGCGUCUGAACCAGCCAAGUCGCGUGAAGGAUGACUGCCCUAUGGGUUGUAAACUUCUUUUAUCUGGGAAUAAACUGUUCCACGUGUGGGCUUUUGUAUGUACCCUAUGAAUAAGGAUCGGAUAACUUCGUGCCAGCCGCCGCGGUAAUACGGAGGAUCCGCGAGUUUUUCGGAUUUUUUGGGUUUCAAGGGAUCGGAGGUGGUGUGUUAAGGUAGGUGUGAAAGUGGGCGGCUUAACCGUAGAAUAGCAGUUGAAACUGGCAGUCUUGAGUACAGGAGAGGUGUGCGGAAUGCGUGGUGUAGCGGUGAAAUGCUUAGAUAUCACGAAGAACUCCGAUUGCGAAGGCAGCACACUGGACUGCAACUGACACUGAGGCUCGAAAGUGUGGGUAUCAAACAGGAUUAGAUACCCUGGUAGUC
rnacentral:rRNA from 1 species